rnacentral:rRNA from 1 species
GAUGAACGCUGGCGGCGUGCCUAAUACAUGCAAGUCGAGCGAAUGGAUUAAGAGCUUGCUCUUAUGAAGUUAGCGGCGGACGGGUGAGUAACACGUGGGUAACCUGCCCAUAAGACUGGGAUAACUCCGGGAAACCGGGGCUAAUACCGGAUAACAUUUUGAACCGAAUGGUUCGAAAUUGAAAGGCGGCUUCGGCUGUCACUUAUGGAUGGACCCGCGUCGCAUUAGCUAGUUGGUGAGGUAACGGCUCACCAAGGCAACGAUGCGUAGCCGCCCUAAGGGGGUGAUCGGCCACACUGGGACUGAGACACGGCCCAGACUCCUACGGGAGGCAGCAGUAGGGAAUCUUCCGCAAUGGACGAAAGUCUGACGGAGCAACGCCGCGUGAGUGAUGAAGGCUUUCGGGUCGUAAAACUCUGUUGUUAGGGAAGAACAAGUGCUAGUUGAAUAAGCUGGCACCUUGACGGUACCUAACCAGAAAGCCACGGCUAACUACGUGCCAGCAGCCGCCGUAA